rnacentral:ribozyme from 14 species
AAUGAAAAAAAAAACGGCUUUUGUCAGUUUACAAGUGUUCUUAUCUUUUUUUGCUUCUUCAGUUUUUUUUUCUGAACCUUUUUUCUU